UCAGGAUGAACGCUAGCGGCAGGCCUAACACAUGCAAGUCGAGGGGUAGAGUUCUUCGGGACUUGAGACCGGCGCACGGGUGCGUAACGCGUAUGCAAUCUACCUUAUACAGGGGAAUAGCCCAGAGAAAUUUGGAUUAAUGCCCCAUAGUGUUAUCGAAUCGCAUGGUUUGAUAACUAAAGUUCCAACGGUAUAAGAUGAGCAUGCGUCCCAUUAGUUAGUUGGUAAGGUAACGGCUUACCAAGACAAUGAUGGGUAGGGGUCCUGAGAGGGAGAUCCCCCACACUGGUACUGAGACACGGACCAGACUCCUACGGGAGGCAGCAGUGAGGAAUAUUGGUCAAUGGGCGCAAGCCUGAACCAGCCAUGCCGCGUGCAGGAAGACGGUCCUAUGGAUUGUAAACUGCUUUUAUACAGGAAGAAACCCUCCCACGUGUGGGAGCUUGACGGUACUGUAGGAAUAAGGAUCGGCUAACUCCGUGCCAGCAGCCGCGGUAAUACGGAGGAUCCAAGCGUUAUCCGGAAUCAUUGGGUUUAAAGGGUCCGUAGGCGGCCUUAUAAGUCAGUGGUGAAAUCUCCUAGCUCAACUAGGAAACUGCCAUUGAUACUGUAGGGCUUGAAUUUUUGUGAAGUAACUAGAAUAUGUAGUGUAGCGGUGAAAUGCUUAGAUAUUACAUGGAAUACCAAUUGCGAAGGCAGGUUACUAACAAACGAUUGACGCUGAUGGACGAAAGCGUGGGGAGCGAACAGGAUUAGAUACCCUGGUAGUCCACGCCGUAAACGAUGGAUACUAGCUGUUCGGAGCAAUCUGAGUGGCUAAGCGAAAGUGAUAAGUAUCCCA
rnacentral:rRNA from 1 species